rnacentral:lncRNA from 1 species
GAAAAAAACAAGUAGCAGAUACUCGUUAAUUCGAUUCUUCAAUAAUGUCAGAGAGCACCUAUUUAGUUAGUCACUCUGCAGGCACCAGUGAUUCAACAGCAAUCUACACAAAAGAGUUCCUGCCUUCCCAAAGCUUGUGAUCUAGUGAGAAGCAUAGACAAGUGAACAAUGACAGCACAGAGUGUGGCUCACCACCAGAUUCUCAUCUGAAUCUGACUUGCUUACAUCCCUUCAGCUUCCUUCUUUUGGCUGCAAGCCCUGCAUGGUCUCCUCAUCAUCAACAGGCUCCAGUUCAUGACAGCGAGGUUCUGCCUUCUGGCACUGCUCUCAUCCUGUCUGUCCUUUACUAAUCAGAGAAGGCUUUACUCUUUUUUGAGAUAGGGUCUCAUUCUGUCACCCAGGCUGGUGGAGUAUAGCGGCACAAUCACGGCUCACUGCAGCCUUGACCUUCUGGGCUCAGGUGAUCCUCCCACCUUAGCCUCCCAAGUAGCAGGGACUAUAGGCAUGUAUCACCACACCUAGCUAAUUUUUGUAGAGACGGAGUUUUGCCUUGUUGCCCAGACUGGUCUCAAACUCCUGGGCCCCAAGUGAUCUGCCCACGUCAGCCUCCCAAAGUGCUAGGAUUACCAGUGUGAGCCACCAUGCCCAGCCUUCAUUAUUCCUAAGGAUAAAGAUAUUUUCCCCUUUCCUAAUUUGACUUUUCUGGAGCUGAGUGGUAAGUACUAUGGUUUGAAAGGUAAAAUGGGUUCUUGAUGUCAACAUGAAAUUAUUCACAUACUGUAGCCCUACACCAAAAUGCUUACUUAUUCAUAGGUUACCACCAGAUUCACGUCAAAUAUUCCAAAAUUCAGGUGUUGCCAAUGUGACAGGAUUAAGAGAUGGGGCCUUUAAAGAGGUGAUAAGGCCAUGAGGGCUCCCCUCCCGGGUGAACAGGAUUAGGUGCCGUUUAGGGCUCGACAGGACGAGUCUGUCCUCUUUCGCUUCCACCUUCUACCCUGUGAGGAUGCAGCAAAAAAGCGCACCAGAUGCCGGCACCUAGACGAUGGCCUUCCCAGUCAAGAACUAAGAGAAAAUAAAUUUUUGUUCUUUACAAA